rnacentral:rRNA from 1 species
CGGCGAGUGAAGCGGCAAAAGCUCAAAUUUGAAAUCUGGUACCUUCGGUGCCCGAGUUGUAAUUUGGAGAGGGCAACUUUGGGGCCGUUCCUUGUCUAUGUUCCUUGGAACAGGACGUCAUAGAGGGUGAGAAUCCCGUGUGGCGAGGAGUGCGGUUCUUUGUAAAGUGCCUUCGAAGAGUCGAGUUGUUUGGGAAUGCAGCUCUAAGUGGGUGGUAAAUUCCAUCUAAAGCUAAAUAUUGGCGAGAGACCGAUAGCGAACAAGUACAGUGAUGGAAAGAUGAAAAGAACUUUGAAAAGAGAGUGAAAAAGUACGUGAAAUUGUUGAAAGGGAAGGGCAUUUGAUCAGACAUGGUGUUUUGUGCCCUCUGCUCCUUGUGGGUAGGGGAAUCUCGCAUUUCACUGGGCCAGCAUCAGUUUUGGUGGCAGGAUAAAUCCAUAGGAAUGUAGCUUGCCUCGGUAAGUAUUAUAGCCUGUGGGAAUACUGCCAGCUGGGACUGAGGACUGCGACGUAAGUCAAGGAUGCUGGCAUAAUGGUUAUAUGCCGC